rnacentral:rRNA from 1 species
ACGGAAGGCAGCAGUGAGGAAUAUUGGUCAAUGGACGCAAGUCUGAACCAGCCAUGCCGCGUGCAGGAAUAAGGCCCUAUGGGUCGUAAACUGCUUUUGUGGUGGAGCAAUAAGUCGUACGUGUACGGCGAUGAGAGUACAUCACGAAUAAGCAUCGGCUAACUCCGUGCCAGCAGCCGCGGUAAUACGGAGGAUGCAAGCGUUAUCCGGAUUUAUUGGGUUUAAAGGGUGCGUAGGCUGUGGUCCAAGUCAGGGGUGAAAGCCCGGAGCUCAACUCCGGAACUGCCUUUGAUACUGGAUUGCUGGAAUACGGAUGCCGUGGGAGGAAUGAGUAGUGUAGCGGUGAAAUGCAUAGAUAUUACUCAGAACACCGAUUGCGAAGGCAUCUCACGAAUCCGUCAUUGACGCUGAGGCACGAAAGCGUGGGGAUCAAGCAGGAUUAGAUACCCUGGUA